GGAGAGAUGGCUCAGUGGUUAAGAGCACUGGCUGCUCUUCCAGAGGACAUGGGUUCAAUUCUCAGCUCCA
rnacentral:tRNA from 1 species